rnacentral:rRNA from 1 species
GACGAACGCUGGCGGCGUGCCUAAUACAUGCCAGUCGAACGCUGAAGGAGGAGCUUGCUCUUCUGGAUGAGUUGCGAACGGGUGAGUAACGCGUAGGUAACCUGCCUGGUAGCGGGGGAUAACUAUUGGAAACGAUAGCUAACACCGCAUAACAGUAGAUGUUGCAUGACAUUUACUUAAAAGGUGCAAUUGCAUCACUACCAGAUGGACCUGCGUUGUAUUAGCUAGUUGGUGGGGUAACGGCUCACCAAGGCGACGAUACAUAGCCGACCUGAGAGGGUGAUCGGCCACACUGGGACUGAGACACGGCCCAGACUCCUACGGGAGGCAGCAGUAGGGAAUCUUCGGCAAUGGACGGAAGUCUGACCGAGCAACGCCGCGUGAGUGAAGAAGGUUUUCGGAUCGUAAAGCUCUGUUGUAAGAGAAGAACGAGUGUGAGAGUGGAAAGUUCACACUGUGACGGUAUCUUACCAGAAAGGGACGGCUAACUACGUG